UAGUGGCGAACGGGUGAGUAACACGUGGGUAAUCUGCCCUGUACUCUGGGAUAAGCCUUGGAAACGGGGUCUAAUACCGGAUAUCACCUUCUCUCGCAUGGGAGAGGGUUGAAAGUUCCGGCGGUGCAGGAUGAGCCCGCGGCCUAUCAGCUUGUUGGUGGGGUGAUGGCCUACCAAGGCGACGACGGGUAGCCGGCCUGAGAGGGUGACCGGCCACACUGGGACUGAGACACGGCCCAGACUCCUACGGGAGGCAGCAGUGGGGAAUAUUGCACAAUGGGCGGAAGCCUGAUGCAGCGACGCCGCGUGGGGGAUGACGGCCUUCGGGUUGUAAACCUCUUUCGCCAGGGACGAAGCGCAAGUGACGGUACCUGGAUAAGAAGCACCGGCUAACUACGUGCCAGCAGCCGCGGUAAUACGUAGGGUGCGAGCGUUGUCCGGAUUUAUUGGGCGUAAAGAGCUCGUAGGCGGUUUGUCGCGUCGUUCGUGAAAACUCCACGCUUAACGUGGAGCGUGCGGGCGAUACGGGCAGACUUGAGUUCGGUAGGGGAGACUGGAAUUCCU
rnacentral:rRNA from 1 species